UACGGAGGGUGCGAGCGUUAAUCGGAAUUACUGGGCGUAAAGCGCACGCAGGCGGUUUGUUAAGCUAGAUGUGAAAGCCCCGGGCUCAACCUGGGAUGGUCAUUUAGAACUGGCAGACUAGAGUCUUGGAGAGGGGAGUGGAAUUCCAGGUGUAGCGGUGAAAUGCGUAGAUAUCUGGAGGAACAUCAGUGGCGAAGGCGAUUCCCUGGCCAAAGACUGACGCUCAUGUGCGAAAGUGUGGGUAGCGAACAGG
rnacentral:rRNA from 1 species